CAGCUGUAUUCUAUACAUGCGUGUAAUUAGGAAUGGCUGUUGUGGAUCAUUUAUUGAACUGGCUGAUGUAGAUCAUGGACAGGGUAACUGAAAAAAAAACAAGUUUGUCUAGUUUUGCAUCAAGGGAUGAGCAGAUAAAAGUACUGCAUGCAAAUUAAUCCCUUAAUUUCUCUGUAAAUAGAGGCAUCCUAGGGCAGUGAGUUUGCCCUAAGCACAAAAGAG